AACGAACUCGAAGAAACUUUCUUCAUGCUGAUGCUGAGGGGCAGAGAGAUAACAAAGGUCAGUUUGGGAGCAAUUGUGGGAAAAAUGUCUUCGUAAUAGAUGCAUUUUCUUUGACUUUGCUUUGAAACGUUUCUAUUCAGAAGGACAUAAUCAUGGACAAGAUGAAGAAUUCUCACGUGGAGAACCACAAAAUGAUCAAGGUAUAUUUGAAAAGAAAGAGACCGAAAAAAUGAGCAAAAGGCCUCUUGUUUAAUUUUGAAUUACCUUAGUUGCAAUUUUGUUACUUUUAUUAUCUUAAAGUAAAACAACCAAACAAAAAUUGUAUUUUAAAAAUGGAGGCUGUGUGUUGGGUUGCAGAGUCUACAGGCUGAGCUGAGGAGGUUACUGGAUCACUCACAACAACUUCUUCUGAGGUACGACAGACACUGCAUUACACCCCAUGGAGACUUCUACGUUGAUCCUCCAAACCAGCGAUCUUUGCAGAGGGAGCUGCAGGACACACUGCAGGUUAGCACGGCUUGUUUUCUCUCAAAUAUCUUUGUUCUCACGUUCAUGGUCUUCCACUUCCUUCAUCUCUAGCUCCAUCGCUCAGUUCUAGAUGACAGAAGCGCGCCAUCUCUCCAGGCGCACGACGAUGGCUUUCAGAACCCCAUCCGCCAGAUCCAUAGAGAAGGACCAGUGUGUGCUCACAACUGCAGAUGUCCUGAGAGGGUGAAAAGAGAGAGCAUUAGGAGUGGAGAAUGAUGAUGAUUGCAUAGGGUGAUGUGUGUGAAUGGACAUGUCUACACUUUCACACACAGGAUUCAGCAGCCGUGGAGGCGAGGCCUUUUCUUCAGUGCCACCAGUCACAGGCAAACAUCAAACAGCAGCUUGUCAGCGCGCUGCAGGGGCUGCACAAGCGUGCGUGGGAGGAGAAAGGGGAGAAGGUGGAUGAGACCCUGAGCAUUUGUGAGAGGGAGCAAAAGCAAAUCCAGCCUGAGAUUCAGAGUCGGAUCCAAGAGGACAAGGAGGUGGCUGCAGUACACUGGUGCAGACUCCAGAAGGUGGAGAGGAAGGAAGCCGAGGAAACAAAGUCCAUCGAGGAGCGGCGUGAGGCAAAAGCAAGGCUCUUGCAAUCUGAGCAGAUCGUCAGUGAUACAGGAGAGGACUGUCACCUGGGAACCCCUCACAGAUCUGGACCAGAGUGUAGUGAGCAAAAGAACUCCAGCAGAUCUCAGGGCAAACAGGGGAAAAACCCAAAGAGACAAGAAGCAAGUCUGGCAGUGGAGAAGGUGGUAAAGGAUCAGAGGGUAGAGCCCCUGGAGAUCCCAACCUCAGAGCGAGAACAAUCGCAGAUGCAGGAGGCCACAGACAGCUUCUUGGCUACGCUCAAGAGGAUGGAGGUGAUGGUCAGCAGCGCUUUGGAGACAGCUGAGCUGGUGCGACAAGGUGAGCAGAGGGUGAGCCAGGUAAGGCAGAAGAUGGAAAGCAUCACACAGAGAGUCCAGGAGGCUGUGGGCCAAGCAGCCAGUACUGACAAGGAGCUGAAAACGCUGGAGGCCUGGGUCAAUGAAAAGAUUCCCACUCAGGUCUGCUUCUUGAAAAACUGCACUUGUUUUUAUGUUUAUUCAACUUAA
rnacentral:lncRNA from 1 species